rnacentral:lncRNA from 1 species
GGUAGGGCUUUUUUCGCGGGAAAAUCACGAAAGACAUAAGGAGCAUGUCAUUUUAAAAUUCCUAAAAAUACGAUUUGCUUGACCUGUAUUGCCUGACACAAGAUUGAUGACACUGAAUGGAAUGUACACAAAGCAAUGGAGGCCAGAAGUGGGAUUUGGUCAAGUUCUAGAAUGUUUUUAGACAUGCAGAAGUCGGGAUUGAAACGGGCAUUAGAAAAUUGGCAUUUUCUAGCAAUAAUUGAGAGCAGCAAUGAAAACCUACCUUAAGAAUUUUUUUUUUAUUCAAAAGUGCGGAAAAAACGUAUUCUGCACUGUUUUUCUACGCCGGAAGUAGCAUAGUGACGUCACUGCGUAGUU